CCAAUAGCGUAUAUUAAAGUUGUUGCAGUUAAAAAGCUCGUAGUUGAAUUUUGGAUUCUGCCAAUUGGUCCAUCUUUUAGAUGAGUACUGGUUGUGUGGGGUCUAUCCGCCUGGUGAUACGUAAUGUCCUUUAUUGGAUGUUGCGGGUAGUCAGGACCUUUACCUUGAAAAAAUUAGAGUGUUUAAAGCAGGCUUAUGCCGGAAUACAUUAGCAUGGAAUAAUAGAAUAGGACGAAGUUGUUUUAUUUUGUUGGUUUCUAGGACAACCGUAAUGAUUAAUAGGGAUAGUUGGGGGCAUUAGUAUUCAAUUGUCAGAGGUGAGAUUCUUGGAUUUAUUGAAGACUAACUACUGCGAAAGCAUUUGCCAAGGAUGUUUUCAUUAAUCAAGAACGAAAGUUAGGGGAUCGAAGACGAUCAGAUACCGUCGUAGUCUUAACCAUAAACUAUGCCGACUAGGGAUCGGGCGAUGUUGUUUCCAUGACUCGCUCGGCACCUUAUG
rnacentral:rRNA from 1 species